rnacentral:rRNA from 1 species
AGCUCACUAGUCGAGCGAUCCCGCGUGGAUAAUACACGGGCAUCAAACUGUCAACCGAAGCCGUGGGGUUAGUUAAUGACUAACCGGUAGGAGAGCAUUCCUGCCAGCUUUGAAGGUCACCCGCGAGAGUGACUGGAGCGGCAUGAAAAGCAAAUGUAGGCAUAAGUAACGAUAAUGGGGGCGAGAACCCCCCACGCCGCAAGACCAAGGAUUCCCCGGCAAUGUCAAUCAGCCGGGGGUCAGCCGGCCUCUAAGGCUCACCCGAGGGGGGAUGCCGACGAGAAACGGGUUAACAUUCCCGUGCUUCUCGUCACCGUGACGCGGUGACGGGGUGAUGAAUGGACCGCGCGCUGACGGAAUAGCGCGUUGAAGGCCGUACCCGAUGACGGUGGUAGUCAAGCACGCCACCGGAGGCGAAAGUCGAUAGUACCUCGAGGCCUCGGCCGAGGGGAUAGCGUCCAGGCAAUUUACCCCCUAGAAAACCCGCUAAACUUCAAGUGACGAGGAACCGUACUGUAAACGGACACACGUGGUCGGGUAGAACAUACCAAGGCGCUCGAGUGAUUCAUGGUCAAGGAACUAGGCAAAAUAGUCCUGUAACUUCGGGAAAAAGGACGCUCUAGUGAUAGAGCCGCAGAGUAAUGGCCCAGGCGACUGUUUACCAAAAACACAUGGCUAUGCCAAAUCGAAAGAUGACGUAUAUGGCCUGACACCUGCCCGGUGCCGGAAGGUUAAGAGGAGAGCUCAUCCGCGAGGAGAAGGUUUGAAUUGAAGCCCCGGUAAACGGCGGCCGUAACUAUAACGGUCCUAAGGUAGCGAAAUUCCUUGUCGGGUAAGUUCCGACCUGCACGAAUGGUGUAACGAUCUGGGCACUGUCUCGACCAUGAGCUCGGUGAAAUUGUAGUUCCGGUGAAGAUGCCGGGUACCCGCGACGGGACGGAAAGACCCCGUGAACCUUUACUGCAGCUUCGCGUUGUUCCCGGGCACGGGACGUGUAGGAUAGGUCGGAGGCUUUGAAGCGGAUUCGCCAGGAUUCGUGGAGCCAUCGUUGAAAUACGACCCUUCUCUUGUCUGGGAUCUAACCCUAAGUAUACGGGGACACCGCGUGGUGGGUAGUUUGACUGGGGUGGUCGCCUCCAAAAGCGUAACGGAGGCUUCUAAAGGUACCCUCGGGUUGGUUGGUAAUCAACCGUAGAGUGCAAUGGCACAAGGGUGCUUGACCGGGAGACCAACAAGUCGAUCGGGUGCGAAAGCAGGGCAUAGUGAUCCGGUGAUCCCGCGUGGAAGGGUCAUCGCUCAAAGGAUAAAAGGUACUCCGGGGAUAACAGGCUGA